AUGAGGGCCUUGUGGAUCUUACAUGGACUAGGUUUCACACCUGCCACGCAGCGCAAGAAGCUAAAAGACUUCAGUGGCAGCUGGAGGAUGAGGCUUGCCCUUGCCAGAGCCCUCUUUAUUUGGCCCUUCAUGCUGCUCCUGGAUGAGCCCACCAACCACCUGGACCUAGAUGCUUGCAUGUGGUUGGAGGAAGAACUAAAAACUUUUAAGCGCAUCUUGGUCCUCGUCUCCCAUUCCCAGGAUUUCUGAGUGGUGUCUGUACCAACAUCAUUCAUAUGCACAACAAGAAACUGAAGUAUUAUACGGGUAAUUAUGAUCAGUAUGUGAAGACGCGGCUAGAGCUGGAGGAGAACCAGAUGAAGAGGUUUCACUGGGAGCAUGAUCAGAUUGCACACAUGAAGAACUACAUUGUGAGGUUUGUCACGGCAGUGCCAAGCUGGCCCAGCAGGCCCAGAACAAGGAGAAGACGCUACAGAAAAUGAUGGCAUCAGCACUGACAGAGAGGGUCAUGAGCGAUAAGACACUGUCAUUUUAUUUCCCACCAUGUGGCAAGAUCCCUCCACCUGUCAUUAUGGUGCAAAAUGUGAGCUUCAAGUAUACAAAAGUAGGCCUUGCAUCUACAAUAAUCUAGAAUUCGGAAUUGACCGUGACACACGAGUGGCUCUGGUAGGGCCCAAUGGAGCAGGGAAGUCAACUCUUCUGAAGCUGCUAACUGGAGAGUUACUACCCACAGAUGGCAUGAUCCGAAAACACUGUCAUGUCAAGAUAGGGCAUUACCAUCAGCAUUUAAAAGAACAGCUGGACUUAGAUCUCUUGCCUCUCAGGAUCCCGCAGGCCUGUUCUCUCUAUGCCUUUGGUCUGUUUCCCCCAAAUCUGAGCCUGUCCCCUCCCUACUUUGUUUGUCCCUUCCUUGCUUCGUGGCCUCGAGAUGCCACCGACCUAGCACCCAGGGCAUCUGGGAGACUCGGCUAUGGAGAAAAGGGAGGUGGUGGCAAAAGAGACGCCUGCUGA